rnacentral:rRNA from 1 species
GGAAUCCUACACGAGGCAGCAGUGGGGAAUCCUGCACAAUGGGCGAAACCCUGAUGCAGCAACGCCGCGUGAGUGAUGAAGCCCUUGGAAUGUAAACUCUUUCAUCCGGGACGUACUGACGGUACCUGCAGAAUAGCUCGUUAUUCG